GGGCGGGGUUCAAAUGUGGCGCUGUGGAAAUUCUGAUGCGCUUCACAAGGUGUUUCGGACGUUUCGGAAAUGCUGAACGGACCCCGGAGCAGAAGCGACGACGCCGUGGGAGCAAGCCAGCACGUGAAAUGACCGUGGGAAGUCCAGGAAAUAACAAUAAUAAUAAUAAUAAUAAACAAGGUUAUUCAGGGGAAUGGAAACUUUCGCACUCAUCACUUGUUCUGCCAGUUGAUCAGAAGUGGAGAGCACUUCCAGGCACACGGGCAAACGGCUGAGCAGGAGGACAUAAAGAGGAUGUGGAGAAAUGUGACUCCUCUUGGAAGCUGGUUUCAGAUGGUGGCUUAGAGUCUUUGUCAGUGAUCUAGCACCAUUUGAAAUCAGUGUUCUUGGGGUGGGAGAAACGUCCUUCUGUUUGUGAAAACCUUCUACACUGUUUCUCUGUUUUCACAAAAUUCUGAUGUAUGAAUUUGAUGAUUCAAGUAUAAUUUUACUACCAUGCUAAACAUCAAGAUCACGUCCUGUCACCAAGGCUGACUGAUUUCUUCUGGUGUUCAGAGUCUUUUGGAGUUUCUAGCACCAUUUGAAAUCGGUUACAAUGAAGGACAGAAACCAGCGUUUGAAGGAGAGACACAGAUCUUUUCUGCUGCCUACUACCUUACUGGAGAGAAGUUUAAGCGAAGUGGUAAGUUGUAAACACCAGAUCAAUAAAUGCCACAGGUAUGGAGGAAUUUUUAAUUGAGCAAAUCAGGUUUGCAAUCAGAUAGAUGUACAUUAAUUUACAUGCUAUUAUAUGAACAUGCAUCAAACGUAUGUCAGUCAUGGUGCUUCAUGUCAUCCCACGUUUUAAAGUUUGAUUAAGACUUUCACAGGGAUUUAACAGAUGUUCAUUAAGUUCAGUAAUUAAUCUGAAAUCUGUGAAAUAGUUAUUGAUGAUUAUUUAAACCUCUCUCUCCAUAAACAUACCUCCUUGCAAAACAGUAUGUUCCUCUAAGUAUGGUGCCAGUUCCACACAGCACUCAAGUUCACAGUAUAUAUUACACUGUACCGAAGAAGCUAUACUAUACAGGUGCAAUCAAAAUUAUUCAACCCCCAUUGCAAAUCAGGUUUAUUGUGAAAAUGUACAGACUUUCAGAUGUUUGCAGCGGUGAGCUACGUGCACGAGCGCAUGCUCUACAGAUGUUGACAACCGUGACAUUGUUUACUGUGGACACGUGCACGUUUCUUUUGUUUCUGUUCUGGAGUAUUCUGUCACGUCGCGAGACGUAAGGGAGUAGAAUACGGAAGCAGGUAAAGACGUAUUUAUUUAAGGAAACAUAACCUUAACAACGUAUCUAACUAUACUAUAUCUACUUUAAUACUCCGCGAGGUGUACAGGGACGCGAGCGGUAUACAUCCCCAAUAUAAUCAGACGUGUAUAUAACCGAAUAGAACCAUUUUUUGCACUCGUCAAUGCACUUUUUAGUUGUAGCCUACAGAGUGUUCCAUUCUUUCAGCAGUCAGUUAUAGGUCUAACAUCGGCUAUUCAAGGGGGCUCAAAGAUGACCACAUCAAAAUAUUUUUAUUUUACUCAUUUAUUUAUUUAAAGUUAUAUUGUGCCUUGUUGGUAGCCUAUGCCUGCUGGAAUGAAAAAAAAAAUGUUCAGUGUUAAAUAUUUUGAAAUUGUAGUUUUUGUAAUUGAUUUUUUUUUCUUUGAAAAGCAAGACAGAAUAGUAAAAAGCACAUUUUGACUAUUUAAUUUAUGCAGUGGUGAAAAAAAUGGCAAAAUAUAUGGGGAAAAGUUCGGUUUCGGUCUUCGGGUUUCGGCCAAGCUUUUCAUUAUAUUCGGUUUCGGCUUCGGCCAAGAAUUUUCAUUUCGGUGCAUCCCUACUUAAAACCCCACCAGAGAUUUUCUAUGGGGUUCAAGUCAGGUGACUGUGACGGCCCUGUAGAAUCUUCCAGGACUUCUUCUGCAACCAAACCUUGGUGGAAGUUGAGGUACGCUUGGGAUCAUUGUCCUGUUGGAAGGUCCGAUGACGCUCAAGCUUCAGCUUACUCACAGAUGGUGUGAUGUUUUCUCCUAGGAUUUCCUGAUACUUCACUGAAUCCAUCUCGCCUUCCACACGCUGCAGGUUUCCAGUGCCAGAGGACCCAAAGCAGAACCAGAGCAUCACCGAGCCACCACCAUGCUCGACUGUGGACCGAGUGUUCUAUCUUCAUUCUUCUUCCUCCAGACAUACCGCUGAUCCAUCGUGCUGAAACACAAUCUCAAAACUUCUGUGGCUUAUUUGUAUGCUUCUGAUCCAACUUUUCUUGGGCUUUGGGGCUGUAGUGGUGAACGUCUUGGAGUUCUGGCAUGGAAACCUUCUGCAUUUAGUAUACACCUUACUGUGCUCACUGAAACCUCAGUGCCUGUUACACCAAGUCUUGCUGUAGGCAUUUUGCAGUCACUCGAGGGUUUUUCACAACCUGCCUUCUCAGAAAUCUGGUUGUAGUCAUUGAUAGCAUCCGUUUUCUGCCCCAUCCAGGUAGUGUACUCUCAUCAAACCCCUAGUCAGUUCAGGUAUUUCAUGUGUUCUAGCUCAAGCACACCUGAUGCAACUAAUGAAGCCCUUGAUUAGUUGCAUCAGGUAUGCUUAAGACAACACAUGAUUUGCAUAUUUGUGCUGUUGUGAGGGAUUCUAUUCAGGGGGUUGAAUAAUUUUGACAAUAAACCUGAUUUGCAAUGGGGGCUGAAUAAUUUUGAUUGCAACUGUAUGGCCAAAAGUAUAUGGACACCUGACCAUCACAUCUAUUUGAGCUUGUUGGUCAUCCUAUUCCCAAAACCAUGGGCAUUAAUUUAUGGAGUUGGUUCCUAUUUUGGGCUAUAGCAGCCUCAAUUCUCCUUGGAAGGGUUCUAUUGCGUAUGCUUGGUUUACAUAUAACGUCAUUUUAUCAUCAUAUCAUAUUUAGACAUAAUUUAGAUAUUGUCAAAAGAGUUUGGGAGAAGAUUAGCCUGGCAUCUAAAAUUUAAUUCAAUGUUAUGUGUGCAGUGCUUUAAAUAAGACAUUGUCAGAAUGCAGCUUUACAGAAAUCUCGAUGUAGAUCCUGGGUAAGCCCAAACCUUAACCAGGAUAACACUGAACCUGUGGCCAAAACAAGCGCCAUAAAGUCAUGGUUUGCCACGGUAUGUGUGCAAGAACAUGAGUCAACCAACUGAAUGGAAUGAACUGGAACUCCGUCUGCACACCAUGCCUUCUCACAUGACAUCGGAAGCUUCCCUCAAUUAUGCUGUUGUGGCUGAAUGGGUACAGCACCCAGUAGCCACUUUAUAAGUCUAAUUGAAGGCCUUUCCAAAAGAGUGGAAGCUGUUAUAGCAGCAACAGGGGGACCAAAUCAAUAUUAAUGUCCAUGGUUUUGGAAUGGGAUAUUCAGGGACAGAUUCAGGUGUCCACAAAGUUUUGACCAUAUAGUGUAGCUAUAGAAGAGUAAAGCGAAACAUUAUUGGGUGUGUUGGGAGAAUGUUCAUUAUGAGCAUAUUGCGAAUACGGGUUCUGGAAUGAGCACAGGACAGUUUUAAUUAUUGUAAAAUCACACCAAGUUUUCUAGCCAUAUGUGUCAUUAACUGAUAUCAACAGUGUCAAUGAUGAUUCAUUCAUCCGGUAUCCAAGAGUUCUGUUUUUUAAAGAUUAUGUUUCAGAUGAUAAGUUUUCAACCAAGAAGGGAUAUCUGAAAGAGAGUCUUCUUCUGAACCACUUAGGAGGUGGAAGAAGGAAAGGAAACAUCAUAAUGGGGAUAACAGUCAUGUGAUCGGAUCACUGACCCCAGACAUGUAAUUUAGAAUGAGAACAAGAUAGGUUUCGCCUCCACCGUAACCCUAAUCAAGAUUAAGCAGAAGACGAAUGAUGGUUAAGAAUUAGAGUGAAGCAAGACCUGACUUCCAGUAAUAAGGCCGUGAGGUAAUAAUACUGAACCUCUCCAUGCUAACCGAUAGGACUAAAGAUCCUGCAGAUGAAUCAAAAAUGACGUCGGAGCAAAUCUGAUGCCCAAGAUAGCAAGAAUGGAGAUUAGAAUAUGGCGAUUCACUGGUCUAGCAGGACGAGAACAGAGGAAGUAGAGUUUUCUCUGGCUUUGUGUGGCGUUUCAGUGACUGGAAUGUGAGGGACUUGGCACAUUGGCUUGAUGACUGAAGAAUGCCUGAAUAGUGAUGACCUUCUGUGCAAAGUUCUUCAUAAAUUCACAAGAAAUGAACAAGGAAGAAAAUUAGGUAAUCAGCGCCUAACACUCUAUAAUAUUCGUAGGAGAGUUGCAUGUUCUCAGUGUUCUAUUAACUCUGUAAAAGACGAUAUGGUGAUGUGUAAAUGUAAGAGAAAAUGUGGAAAGGAUGUUGACAUUUCUUUUGAAUGCAACAGUAUCAGUGGAGCAGGGGAGUUGUAGCAUGUAUGACACAAAGAAAUGGUCUGAGGCAUCAAAUGGAGUGUUCUGUGGAAACAAGGGCAAGAAUGCUGCCAGCUUUAUGGAUUGUCAAGGACCAGAUCUAUAAUGGUGUAUUUCAGUAGUUUCUCUACCUAAUGAUCUAUGACCGGGGACGAUUAGGAUGUGUUGCCUUUAUUAGUCGAGGCAAGUAACAAAAAGUGUGCAUGCAGAAAGCAAGAGGAUCUUUUACAGUUGUCAGUCAACUGGACCUCUAUCUAUCAGACCACUCAUCAGCCAUACUUGGAGGAAACGUGUAAGGACAAAGGAAAACUUACUCUACAGUUUUCCUGCAGAACUAUUCAGGAAGCGACUGGACCUAAAGCAAGGUAAACCCAUAAUGAGCAAGGUAAACAAUCCCACAUGAAAUAUUCUGUUUCUCAAAAAACUCAAAGGUUAUUGGGAUCCUAAUGACAUUAGUUUAUGGGAUAAUAAAAUAUGACCAUCGUAUAAUAGUCACUGUAUAACAAGAAUAUAAAAGUCAUAGUAUAAUAAGAGAGGCUUCAACAAGGGCAUUUGUAAGAUUUCAAAAUAUCUGGAGCUUAAGCCAAAUUGGGCCUUGGGGUCUGCAUUUUUUUUAAACAUCCUACAUGUAUUACGUAUUUUUUUUACUAUAAACAACACUAUGCUAUCUGGAUAAUAUACAGUGGGGGGAAAUAAGUAUUGAACAUGUCAACAUUUUUUUCAGCAAAUCUAUUUCCAAUGAUUCUAUUCACGUGGAAUUGUCACCAGGCAUCAGUAUUAACUCAAGAAAUCCGAAAGUUAUUUUAAAAAAAACCUAUCUGUGCAAAUUAAUGUCAGCUGGGUUAGUAAAUUGAUAGUCUAUAAAAAGGCUUUUUGUUACCAAGGUGUCACACAAGAAACAUCUCAUGAUGUCCAUCCAUCUUCCACCACUUAGUCCUUUUCAGGGUCACGGGGAACCCGGAGCCUAUCCCAGGGAGCAUCGGGCACAAGGCGGGGUACACCCUGGACAGGGAAUCUCAUGAUGUGUAAAAGCAAAGAGCUCUCCGAAAACCCUUGCGACCUUAUUGUUGUGAAACAUAUUGAUGGAAUACAGAUGUAUUUCAAAUCCUCUGAAUCUCCUAGUAAGUACCGUUGGAGCCAAGUGGAAGCCCCAUCACUCCGUCAUCAACCGGCCAUGCACAGGAUCUCCUCGCAAGAUUUCUGACCAGGGAGUCAGAAGGAUAGAAGAUAUUUUAGACAAUUGAUUCUUCCAACUUUGUGGCAUCAGUUUGGGGAAGGCCCUGUCCUGUUCCAGCAUGACUGCCCUGGGGCACAAAGCGAACGAAUCUAGUGUGGAGGAACUCCAGUGGCCUGGACCGAGCCCUGACCUCAAACCUAUUGCACACCUUUUGAGAUAAGUUGGAGCACUGAUUGCGAACCAGGUCUUCCUGUUCAACAGUAGCACCUCAGAAAAGCUCAUUUGACGGAAUGGGCACAAUUUCACAUCAGACACACUCCAAAAUCUAGUAGAAAGCCUUCGUAGAAAAAUGGAGGCUGUUGUAGUCUCAGAGGGGAAGACAACUCCUUUUUAAUGUCCAUGGUUUUGGAAUGGGGCGUCCCAUCAAUUCAUAUACAAGUGCAUGUACAUAUAUUAUAUUUCAAGCCUUUUUUGUUUUAAUCUUGAUGAUUGCAGCUUGAAAUAAAAAAUCCAGUAUCUCAAAAUGUUAGAAUACAGAAUUUAUAAUACAGAAAUGUCGACCUUGUGAAAAGUUUGUUAACUUACGCACUCGAUACUCGGUCGGGGCUUUAAUCCUUUUGCAGGAAUUACUGCAUCAGUGCGGCGUGGCGUGGAGGCGAUCAGCCUGUUGCACUGCUGAGGUGUUCUGGAAGUCCAGGUUGCUUUGAUAGCGGUCUUCAGCUCGUCUGUAUUGUUGGUGUCUCUCGUAGGUUCUCUAUGGGGUUCGGGUCAGGCGAAUCGGCUGGACAAUCGAGCACAGUAAUACCAUGGUCAGAAACCAGUUACUAGAAGUUUUGGCACUGUGGGCAGGUGCAGAGUCCUGCUGGAAAAGGAAAUCAGCGUCUCCAUAAAGCUCGUCAGCAGAUGGAAGCAUGACAUGCUCUAAAAUCUCCUGGUAGACGCUGCAUCGACUCUCGACUCGAGAAAACACAGUGGACCAACACCAGCAGAUGAACUGGCAACCCAAAUCAUCACUGACUGUGGAAACUUCACACUGGACUUCAAGCAACUCGGAUUCUGUUCCUCUCCACUCUUCCUCCAGACGCUGGAACCUUGAUUUCCAAAUGAAAUGCAACAUUUACUUUCAUCUGAAGAGAGGACUUUGCACCACGGAGCAACUGUUUUUAGUAAAAAGGUGUUUUGAGUUCAUUCGCUGAUUAGAGCUCUUCUCAGGUCGACAUUUCUGUAUUAUAAAUUCUUCUACUAUUUUUGAGCUACUGGAUUUUUCCAGUAUCUCAUUUCCAUGAGCUGUAAGCUAUAAUCAAGUUUUAAACAAAAAAAAAAGGCUUGAAAUAUUUAAUAUAUUCUGUAAUAUAUGAACUUACACUUUUUGAAUUAAAUUACCCGGGGGGGCGGGGGGCUUUUCCACGAUAUUCAAAUUUUUUAAGAUGCACCUGUAGGUGUGUUGGUCAGAUGUGCACAUACUUGUGGGGGCACGCAUAAUUAUAAGUAGCAAACUGAAAGUACUUAUUCUUAAAACUACUUAAUAUGCUCAUGUUUGUCAGCAGCGCCCUCCUUAUAUGACCAGCCUUCCUUGAAUGAAGGAUGCUACAGUAGCAGUCUCUGGGAUGUUUUUCCUGGGCGAUUGCCUCAACAGCCAUGUUUAACUCCAGCCUCAGUAGCAUCUAAAAAGGAGUCUGGUUCAGCCUCUGUCGGUCGUCUGACUGUAGAUUUGGCUUCUUCUAGUCUGGACUAUUUGCAUUUAACCUGCUUCCGUCCCAUAUUUCUCCAUUUCUACUGAUUUUUCCACCAUCCCAACAAGUUGAGAGCGCCACACAGAAUUUUAAUCGACUAGUCUAUGCUACACUGUGUGUGUAUGCGUGUGUGUGUGUGUGUGUGUGUGUGUCUUAUCUUCGAGACCCGCAAGAUAAUGUAUCAUCUGAUGUAUUAAAACCACACAUCAAUAAAUCUCAUGGAAUACAGUGUCUCUAGCAGACAGGAAGGACCCAAAAUUUUCAAUCGAGAUCUGUUUUACACACAGUAAAAAUUAUUUCUCUGAAUUAUGAAAUAUUUCUCUGAACUUUGAAACGUAUCAAUUAUUCAUCACUUAAUCAGUGCAGAUAAAUGUAGGAGCAAAUCUCACAGCAAACUGUAAAAAGGAUUUUGUACACCACAACAUGUGGGGGGGAACCCACACACAAGCACUUUGUCCCUUUGACCACCAGGUGUCGGCAACAAACUCCUUAAAGAAAAGUUUUGAACAAUACAAGCCAAUGCAAGCAAUGCCAAUGAACUGACCGCUGCAAUAAUACAUGCACCCCAACUGCCUAUACAUAACGGUCUGUAACCCAGGGAAAUAAACUAACAUAAACAAA